AACGAACGCUGGCGGCAGGCUUAACACAUGCAAGUCGAACGCCCCGCAAGGGGAGUGGCAGACGGGUGAGUAACACGUGGGAAUGUGCCCCAAGGUACGGAAUAUUCUCGGGAAACUGAGAGCAAUACCGUAUGUGGCCGAGAGGCGAAAGAUUUAUCGCCUUGGGAUCAGCCCGCGUUGGAUUAGCUAGUUGGUGGGGUAAAAGCCUACCAAGGCGACGAUCCAUAGCUGGUCUGAGAGGACGACCAGCCACACUGGGACUGAGACACGGCCCAGACUCCUACGGGAGGCAGCAGUGGGAAUAUUGGACAAUGGGCGCAAGCCUGAUCCAGCAAUGCCGCGUGUGUG
rnacentral:rRNA from 1 species